rnacentral:rRNA from 1 species
UACGUAGGGUGCGAGCGUUGUCCGGAAUUAUUGGGCGUAAAGAGCUCGUAGGCGGUUUGUUGCGUCGGCUGUGAAAUCCCGAGGCUCAACCUCAGGCCUGCAGUCGAUACGAGCAGACUAGAGUGUUGCAGGGGAGACUGGAAUUCCUGGUGUAGCGGUGAAAUGCGCAGAUAUCAGGAGGAACACCGAUGGCGAAGGCAGGUCUCUGGGCCACUACUGACGCUGAGAAGCGAAAGCAUGGGGAGCGAACAGG